AAACAUUAUUGAGUGUACCUUUCAAAAUGUAGAUAUUGUCUUUUGUAUAUUUUUAACAUUAAUGGUCACAAAUUGCUCAGCUGAGCAUUCAUUUUCUCAGUUGAAGUAUAUUAAAAACCCCAUCAUAACAACUAUGCAACAAGGCAGGCCGGAUGCCUUAUGUCCACUAAGUAUAGAACCAGAUGUGAUAGA